CUGUUCCCAGCAGGUGUUUUCUGAGCAUCAACACUGCUCUUCCUUUCCCUCCAAGGGCCUUACAUGAAGGCAAACUGAUUCCCUCCACAUCGAUAAAACUACAGCUUUCAACAAAGAAAUACAGAAAACAGCCUCAGAGUCUUCUAGUUCUAUUGUAGCACGCUGGGAGCAGGCUGGUGUUACAGUAGAAGAGGUGGAGGUGCUGUGGAGUUUGGUGGGAGUCAACUGGGCCUCAUAAGGAGCUGCAGAUGUCCUGUUCUCCGCUAACCCUUCUGUUCAGCUGUUGUUUUGUCCCUCUCAUCAGGACACGCAGUGGCUCAGUAGCGCUGCUACCACAGCAUCUUUAGUGAAGGUCUUAUAAUAACUUUCCCCUUGUUCAAGACAAUUAUCCUCUCCACUUUCCUCCACCUCCACAUCCAUCAACACGUUCAGCCCGGUCCGUCCUCAUCUCUGCCUGCCAGCUGCUUCCUGUAGCCCUGACACUAAGAGUCUUUAUGCCCUGUGGAUUUUGUGGCUUGAGGCUUUGCCACUCGGUGCCCACAGAGAGUUCUUGGAAGGCCGGGGAUCCACAAAGCCUCCCGGUCGCCUCAAGCCUUUAGGCCAGGCCACAGAACAGUAAACCUGGCAGAGGCUGAGACCAGACUGUGGUCAGGUUCAGCCCUCAGAGCCACAGUCAGGACUCUCCUCUGUGUGAAGGAAGUAACCCCCUUCCAGCACAAAGACAUUAUCAACCAGGACAAUACUGAAGCAUCAAUCAGCUGCCCUGAAGCUCAUGUUAAAUAUAACAUGUUUGAGUACUGAAUAAAACAAAAUCUGACUUCAGAAACACCAUAAAUUAACCAGUGCCUGCAUACCAUAUUGGACACUUUAAGAUUUGAUUGUUCACUGUUAUAAUGAGUCUCAGAUCACAUAAGAAUUAGGGUCAACCAAAAUAACAUGGUUGGACUUGACAACAUAAAACCAUCAGCAUCAUUAGCUCGUCAUGGUUUAGCAGAGCUCUGAAACUCCUCUUAAUCAUCACCACGAGCUGUUAAAUCAUCUAUGUAACGCUCCAGCUGGAGUUCAGGAUUUUCCUGGAUGGUUUCCUUCCAGAGAAAAAAGACAGAGCAUGUUUCAAGCACAGAACCACCUUUCUUCAGAGUGGAGUGAAAGCCAGCUCAGCUAUCAGGAGCAUGGCAGAAUCCACAACCUGCUGACUCAGAUUCAGAGCGUUUGAUUGACUGGCUUUGAGUUUGCCCAGUUUUCUCCAGAAGGAGAGCAAAGCAGGGACAAACCAGGACUGAACCCAGACCACAUCUACGUUCUGUUGCAGAGGAAUGUGCUAAAAGCUCCGUCCGCACAGGCCAAACACUUAGCCUUGCAUUAAUGUUUCUCAGAACCUCCCACGAAUCUUCAAACCUGCCAGAGCCAAGACGACGUGUAAUCACAAAGAUCAACAAACCCUUAACAGCUUUUACAGAGGAUCACCAAGACCAGCUAGAGGCCAGUUUUAUAAAGAGCUGGAAACGCACUCACACACCCACACACAGAAGGUGCUAUGGACGUUUCUGAUGCUCAGCACACAAGUUUUCUGAAGAACUGAACGUUUGUUCCAGAAGAAGUUUGUUUUUAAGCGUUACAUUCAGUCAAGGUGACAUCUAGUGGUGACCGUCAGCACUGCAACUGUAUUUAAGACUGAAACACUAAAGCGUUUAACUGAUUCAGAACUACAGCUAUGAUAAAAGAAGAAAACCAGAACAAACCAGGGUCUUCAUGCUG